rnacentral:rRNA from 1 species
UACGUAGGUGGCGAGCGUUAUCCGGAAUGAUUGGGCGUAAAGGGUGCGUAGGCGGCCUGCUAAGUCUGGAGUGAAAGGUACCGGCUCAACCGGUACAGGCUCUGGAAACUGGCGGGCUAGAGAGCAGGAGAGGGCGGUGGAAUUCCAUGUGUAGCGGUGAAAUGCGUAGAUAUAUGGAGGAACACCGGUGGCGAAAGCGGCUCUCUGGCCUGUAACUGACACUGAGGCUCGAAAGCGUGGGGAGCAAACAGG